rnacentral:rRNA from 1 species
AUUGAACGCUGGCGGCAUGCCUAACACAUGCAAGUCGAACGAGUGGCGGACGGGUGAGUAAUGUCUGGGACACUGCCCGAUGGAGGGGGAUAACUACUGGAAACGGUAGCUAAUACCGCAUACUAUCGGAUGUGCCCAGAUGGGAUUAGCUAGUAGGUGGGGUAAUGGCUCACCUAGGCCACGAUCCCUAGCUGGUCUGAGAGGAGGACCAGCCACACUGGAACGGAGACACGGUCCAGACUCCUACGGGAGGCAGCAGUGGGGAAUAUUGCACAAUGGGCGCAAGCCUGAUGCAGCCAUGCCGCGUGUAUGAAGAAGGCCUUCGGGUUGUAAAGUACUUUCAGCGGGGAGGCGUUACUCGCAGAAGAAGCACCGGCUAACUCCGUGCCAGCAGCCGCGGUAAUAC